rnacentral:rRNA from 1 species
GCGAAGCCGGGGGAAGCGGGGGAGGUAUGAGGGGGGGUCUAGGAGUUAAUGGGAAUUACGGGGCGUAAAGCGGGCGCGGGCGGUUUGUUAAGCGAGAUGUGAAAGCCCUGGGCUCAACCUAGGAAUAGCAUGUCGAACUGGCGAACUAGAGGCUUGUAGAGGGGGGUAGAAUUCCAGGUGUAGCGGUGAAAUGCGUAGAGAUCUGGAGGAAUACCGGUGGCGAAGGCGGCCCCCUGGACAAAGACUGACGCUCAUGCACGAAAGCGUGGGGAGCAAACAGGAUUAGAUACCCGGGUAGUC